rnacentral:lncRNA from 10 species
UGAGAAGAUGAUAGAGAAUAUCACCACAGUGUGACUUGCUUCCAAGGCAGCAUGGUUUCAUGCAGAGGAUCUAAACUGGGGACCAUGUGCUGGGCUGCAAAAGGGCUGUGCAGUGCCUAAAAUGUUAUGCAAAAUUUUAUAAAGAGUGCACACCUUCUACUUAUUAAAAAAAAAAACAAACUGUAAAACAGCAUCAUGCAGGUUCUUCAGGAGAGAUUCCAGAGGAAGGCAUUGUUGUGGUAGAAGAUGACAGUUCCACAGGUGUUACUAGCCAUGAAGAUCUUCCAGUGAGACAAGAUGUGGAGGUGGAAGACAGUGAUAUUGAUGAUUCUGAUCCUGUUGUUAUAAAUAAAGUUUCG